rnacentral:lncRNA from 1 species
CUGAGAUUCAGCAACUUGAGAUGGUGCUGCUGAUAAUAAUAACUUUUUACUGAUAGCCACUUUCAUUCAAGACUCUCAAGGUUGUUUGAACAUUAUCCUGUUAAUCUGGCUGAAGGGGUUUUAAAAAGUGCCAGAUGCAGAACCCUCUGCCCAGCUUGGGAGAAGUUUGGAUGUGAUCCAGGGCUUCUUUGCUUCAUUGUCUAUAACUAAAAGAUCCUAAUAUCUCCUGGAGGUAAGAUUUAUGUGCAAAUCAGAGAUACACUGGUGGUGAGCCACAUAAAACCUCUUUUGGCUAGUGCUAGAGGCGCUGUUGUUCUGAGAGUAUGAAAUAAGACAUCCUGUUCCCAAUCAGAUUUUUAUUUUUGAUCUUUCAUGUGACUAAAUUCUGGGAAACUUUAAGAAAACACAGACUGCUAUUCAUUUCAAAAGGAUCAGGAUUAAAACUAAAGAUAGACAUAACCUUUUUCACCCCUAAGCUGCUUUUGAGAAAUUAGGUGCAUCUUUAUUUUGGCUUAGUCUUUGCUCGCAUCUUUUGAGGUGCUGGGAUGCCAUUUAAAGUAGAGCUGUGCUUCCAACAAUGCCUUUUGCUCAGCUGAGCUAAAGGAAAGCAAUACAGAACAGCAAGUACAUAAAUCAUCUUCCUCCAGCAGAUCCCUCUUCUAUUAACAUUCUCCUUGGUGCCAGUGACAGAGAAGUAUUAAAGCAGCACUUUUUUUUUUUUUUUUUUCUCUAGGACAGCCACUUUUGCUGUUGUCAAUAUAAUCACAGCUGUUCUUGGUCUGAGACAUUAAACAAAGUCCCAGGUGCUCAUUAUAUGGAGAUGAAUAAUUAACUUACUAUUUUAAAAAAGAAGCCUUGCUUUUUAAUAAGCAGUUCUUCAAAUGUUCAGGCUACAGGAAAGGGAGCUGGAGGCUGGGUGACAAUGAAUGCAGCAAGGUCAGCUCUCUGGAAACUACUUCUCUCAAAUGCUGGGGGGAAAACCCAUCCAUGCAGUUUUUGGAAGAGGGGCAACUUCCCAAGUGCAAGGUGGGCUUGCAGAAAGGAUCAGGCCCAGCCAGUCACAUUCUUUUCUUGCAGGGACACACGCUUCUGGAGUGGAAAGACUCCAGCCUUGCCCUCCCCUGCAGUAACCUCUUGUGGUUGAAUGCCUGCUGUUCAGUUUUGUCUUUGGGCCACAUGUCUCUAAGAAAGGUCUUAUCUCAGUCACUACCCUUGAAAAUCCACUAUUUCAUUUUUGAGCUGACCCUGGCGUUCCUGGUGCCAUGGUGGCACGUCUGCUGCUGCCCCUGUCCCUGGGGGGUGCCUACCCCAGCCUGCAGCUGGGACAGCGGCCCUGGAACCCCUGCUGAUGCCAUGGAGAGCCAAACCCAAGCACAAUGCAUGUCAGGCUCUGCGCAGCCUUUCCUGAAUCUCUCCCAGUUUCUCUAGGCUAGCUACUAAUACAACCCACCUGGCUUUCUCCCAUCCAAAAAAUGAAAAAAGAGGCAAGUUCCCAGAAAGAAAACAACAGGGAAGCAAGGAUAUUACACAGAGAAUGUAUCAGCUGUGUGAUUUUUAUGUAACAACAAUUUUAGGAGGUUUCAACUCAUUUUUGUAUCGUAGUAACAUCUUUUUGUGCUGCUGCAGCUACGACUGGGCUGCACUCUGAAAUGGAUCAGCAGGAGAUCCAAAAAAAAAAAAAAAAGCCUUUAAUCAGGUCCAAAAGCAUUGGUCUCAUUCUGAUUCCUGCAACUAGUUUGCAGCUCCAUAGAGAGAGGUCUAGGCCCAAGCUGGAAGGUGGGAAAAUGUAGCUGGGAGGUGGCCAACAGCUCCUCAAGCCGCUGGUCCUCCAAGGGACCGCAGUGAGGAGCCAGUCCCACACACACCCUCCUGUGGAGGCAAGUGCAAAGGGUGUGUGUGCAGGCAUCCUGCUGGAUUUGCCCCAGUAGCAGACUCUUUUUGGUGCUCAGUUGCAAAGCACCACAAUGAACAAUGCUGUCACCAGGCUUGCAGCUUAUCAAGGAGGGCAGCUGGAUCACAGAGUCACAGACAGCUGCUUUGGGAAGGGACUCAGCCUGCUAACAGUGCCUGUACUGCCAUAUGACGUUCUGCAAGAGUGAGUUUUGCCUUAUAAAGUGUGUGGUGCCUCUAUCCCUAAAUUCCUGGCUUUUGAAAGAGAGGUAGAAGCUUGCAGAUCAUUCAGGAAUGUGAAUGGAGCAACUAAUGUUUAAAGGAAGUAGUAGGUGUAUAUUUUGAUCUUGAACUGCAGCAACGUUAGUGAGUACAGAUGGGGAUGUGGCAAUAAUGUUAAGGGAAGUAUUGGUCAGUUUUGCGUUUCUUGUGGCUAUUGUUGAAUGAAAUGCAGCUGAAAAGAGAGAAGAGAUUGCAUGCAAUGUUUCUUUUUAUUUUAUUUUUUGGUAAUGUGAAUGCAAGCUAAUCCCAACAGGACUAGUCAUUGAUGUUUCAAAAAACUACCCCUGGAAACACAGAUAUUUCAAGAAAUGUUUAAAACAACAACAAACAAAGAGUAAGAGCCAUUCAAAGAGACUGGGAAUGUUAUAAGGACAAAAGUAUCCCAGUGGGAAGUGUCUGAAUUAGAAGAGAUGUAAGAGGAUGCUGUGAAGUAGAUGAUUGCUCGUUGGGCGAAGGAAAGAAUCAACGCAUCAGGGUGAGCUUCUCCCAGAGCGAAUGUCCAUAUAUCCAGGACAAGGCAGUUUUCUAUCUCACUGUUCCUCUUCCGUGACUUUCCUCCCUGAAAGAUGUACUCCCUGCACAGGACUGUCUCCUCCGAAGUCAUUGAUUCUUUCAGCUCUUAGCUCUGUAAAAAGACCCUUGUGGGUUAGCAGCACAUAAACUCAGUAACCAUAGUCUGCUUUGAGAGACUGUCAAUAUAGAAGGCUCCAUCAGUUCUCUGUUUGUUUACAUUGGUAUGUAUUCCAAAUUGCUGUCUCUAAUACCUGGGCCAGACUUGGAACUAAUUUACUGAACAUACCUGGUGUUUCACUUCCUGAAAGGGUCGAAUUAAAGUGGUGUUAAAGUAACAAACGUACUCAAAGAGCUUUAGCACAAAAUGUUAUGAAGAUUUGCAUUAGUUCCAGGCAUUAGAGCUGAAUAUUUUAGAUGUUUCAUAGUAUGCACUGGGUUCCUUUUAGUUACCUUUGUAAAAUCCAGUCCAUGCUAUGGAGGUAAUGCAGCAUUUGGAUUGCAAGGGCACGUAGUACAACACCAAGCAUCAGUUCACCACGGAUAUUUUUACACGAUAUCAGUCUGUACAGUAUGUCAGUCUUCUCUAGGGCAAAGCUGAGCCAGCAUAUCAGAAAGAAUGUAUUUUUGGCUCCUUCCUCAAGUGUAAGCAUCCUGGCUAAUCCCACAUAGGUCAUCUGAUCAUCCCUUUUUAUUCUUCCCACAAUAUGGGAUAAAGAUUUCACUACUUCCCAGGAAAGCUGUGAGAAUAAAAACUCAAAUGCUACUUCAGGAAGAUUUUAUGAAGUACCUUGGCAGAUAGUCAGUCUGCACCCAGCACCUUUCUUUCACGUUUUUCCUCACAGAGAGGAAUUCAAAAGACAUUGAAAAUGUGUGGUGUCUGUUCACCUCCCAGUAAUUCAUUCCACUGAAAGAAAGAAUAGC